rnacentral:RNase_P_RNA from 1 species
UCUGCAGGCCGGGUGACCGCGGCGCCCUUCGGGCGUCGAGGAAAGUCCGGACACCGCAGGGCAGGACGCUCUCACGAGAGAGGCGGCGAAAGCCGACGGAAAGUGACACAGAAAACAGACCGCCGGUCGCGGAUCUCCGGAGUCGCGGCCGGUAAGGGUGAAACGGUGGGGUAAGAGCCCACCAGCGGCCCUGGCGACAGGGCCGGCUCGUCAAACCCCGUCCGGUGCAAGGCGAACAGGCUCCGCCGACGCGGCCCGCCGAGGAGCCGGGUAGCCGCACAGAUGGAUGGCCACCCUAGACAGAAUCCGGCUUACAGGCCUGCUACCGAG